rnacentral:rRNA from 1 species
GACGAACGCUGGCGGCGUGCCUAAUACAUGCAAGUAGAACGCUGAAGCGAGGAGCUUGCUCUUCUUGGAUGAGUUGCGAACGGGUGAGUAACGCGUAGGUAACCUGCCUUGUAGCGGGGGAUAACUAUUGGAAACGAUAGCUAAUACCGCAUAACAAUGGAUGACACAUGUCAUUUAUUUGAAAGGGGCAAUUGCUCCACUACAAGAUGGACCUGCGUUGUAUUAGCUAGUAGGUGAGGUAAUGGCUCACCUAGGCGACGAUACAUAGCCGACCUGAGAGGGUGAUCGGCCACACUGGGACUGAGACACGGCCCAGACUCCUACGGGAGGCAGCAGUAGGGAAUCUUCGGCAAUGGGGGCAACCCUGACCGAGCAACGCCGCGUGAGUGAAGAAGGUUUUCGGAUCGUAAAGCUCGGUUGUAAGUCAAGAACGGGUGUGAGAGUGGAAAGUUCACACUGUGACGGUAGCUUACCAGAAAGGGACGGCUAACUACGUG